rnacentral:lncRNA from 1 species
GAGCUUUCCACAUCCAGUGAGAGAACACACGUAAAAUGUCCAGCACUGGAGGCAACGCAAAGCAGACUCUCAGACUUGUCCAGACUCUUCACUUGUCCAGGCUCUGAGGACUUGGAAUUAGAAACGAGGCAUGAGGUGUCAGAGUUUAUAAUGCCUUUGGUUCUGAUAAGGGGAAACUGUUGCCAAGCGGUCAGAAGCUCCGGGUCCAGAACUAGGUUUUCGACCUCUCAAAAUCACCCUCGUACCUUCCUUUGGCUGUAUCUUCCAUAUAGGAUUCGGAUCGUCUAACCAAUUCGAUCUUAUGAAUGUGAGCUCCAGAAGGCCAGGAACUUGGUCUGCGUCAAUCUCCUAAUGCCUACAACAGUGCCUGAUCACUAUGGAGCCCUAAGAAGAGCUUUGUACACAUUUAUGGAAUUCAUCUCUCUACUGGAGAUACACACUGGAUACCGCUUAUUUAUCAUCGACGUACCUUGCUGAAAUACUUAUAUGCCCAGAUUCCCUUAUCUGAUCCAGAUACUAGAAGAACUGUCAAGUCCAAGUCCCAUGGAGUUAGUAAUUUCCAAAAUCCUGUUCACUAAGGGUUCACUCGCAGCUGGAGAGAUUGGACUGAAGUUGCAGGAGAGAAAGCUGCCCUCUGCUUUCCUGCAUCGGAGCCUCUGGAAGCCCCUGGAAGCCCAGUCCCCCAGAAACCUCCAGCUCUGGCAGGAACAUGGCCCCAGCUGAAGGAAGCUUGGUUUCUCUCUCUCCCUCUUUCUGUCAUUUCUUUUUCCUUCUUUCUUAUUUAGCUUGCAGGUGAGGGGCGAGGCUUGCGGAAGAGGCAUCCAGCCAAGGUUCCCUACUCACUUCCCUGUGAGAUCUCGUUUUGAUAAAGGUGACAGAGUCUGAAAGUUAGUAAAAGUAACCUCAUUUCCCUCUCCAUUUAUGUACUGCUUUUGAACUGGUCACAGCUCAGAACCUAGUUUUGUUUUUCUGCCUUUCUCUCAUGCCCCCUGUAUAGACCCUGCUGGCCCACCAAGGGUUCAUGGUGCAGGGAAUCUUGCCCCUGCCCCGGAGGAAUGACUCUACCAGACCUUCGAGAAGAUCGUGCCAUCGACUGGCCUUGCACAUCACUCUGUCUCUAUGAGUCGAGCCUGACCAAUGAGAGCACAAACCUCAACCUUACCCGUAAUCAGAGAAAUGCAGUGACAUGCCAUUUUUCAACCAUCCAAUAGGCAGGGAGAGAGAGAGAGAUCACUAAUAUUUUAUGCCGGCAAGAGGGUGAGAAAACGAGCGCUCAUACAUUGCUGCUAUAAAUAUGAAUUAUUACAUCUUGGGAAUGCAGCCUACUAUCUAUUAAAAUAAAAAAAUGCAGAGAUUACA